rnacentral:tRNA from 1 species
GCCCCCAUCGUCCAGCGGCCUAGGACUCCGCCCUUUCAAGGCGGCAACGGGGAUUCGAAUUCCCCUGGGGGCACAA